rnacentral:lncRNA from 1 species
GGGGUGGAGUGCUGUUAGAGCCGCCCGCCUGAUUACCUCAGAGGCUCUGAGCGCUUUCGCGCGUUUCCAGGGCGCUGUGUGGUGCAGCUCCUGCGGCUAGUUGGGCUCGACUGUACUUUCCCUGCCCGGCCCAGGAGUUGUGUUGUGACAGUUGUGUUUUUGCACCGGAAAUUCUACUAGCUGUGUGUGUUGAAAAAGGCACUUACACAAGCAAACCACCAAUGGUGCGUUCUCUCAGAGAUAGCCAAGUCAGCAGGCGGUGGAGAAUUCCAUCACAAGAGAUAAGGAAGUAAGCUGAGAAAAACAAGUUAAAGGCUGUGAAACAUCACUGGCAAAUGAAUUUCCUAAGAAGAAGAAAUUCAAGGUUGAUAAUAUAACUCUGCCCAACAAGCUUUGUGUAGGUGGUGAACCUGAAGUAUUCAGGCAGUGAGGAUCCAGGAGAGGGAACUAGUGCUGGUGAAUAAUAGUGACGGUGGUGAAUAAUAGAUGACACUUCUCCCACAAGUGUGUUCCUGCUUACAGGAUGCCUGGCAUUGCCACUGCGAAUAAACCUACUUUGUAUGAGACCUUGCCUCAGAAAAUUACUGAGACAUUUCUGACAGUCUGGGAGCUCAUCAAGGAUCCAGUCGCUUGUUGGGGUUAUCACACCACUGUAAACAGGAGAGGCGCACUGCACUGAUUUCAGUGGUUCUCUUGGAGGUGAUGGAGGUGAUUUCCCAGCACAGCUGAUGGAAAACCAAAGCUGUUCUACUGAAAGGCAGGCUCUGCGAAGUCUCAGGGAAUUAUAGCCACCAUCAUCGAAAAUUAGACCCGGUAUCUCUGUGCAUGGACCAAGCUGAAAGAUUUACUUAUCUUCUGAAGUAAAGUAGCAAUCAAGCUUUCCUCUGGGCUGCUUUUUAUGGAGACACAAGUUUAAUGGCAUAGUGCAGUAGAAAAAUGAGUGCUGAAAUAUUUUUCACAGUCAGGAGUGGUUGGAGGAUCACGUGUUGAACACAACAUUCCUUUAUAAAAACUGUGGAGACAGCAGUAUGCAAAGUGCAGGUUAGGUCUCAGUGAGUGAAGAAAGCAUGGAAUCUUCUCUUAAAAAAAAAGAGAAAAGAGAGGAGA